AUUGAACGCUGGCGGCAUGCUUUACACAUGCAAGACGAAAGGUAACAGGAUAAGCUGACGAAUGGCGAACGGGUGAGUAAUGCAUCGGAACGUGCCCGGUCGUGGGGGAUAACGCAGCGAAAGCUGCGCUAAUACAGCAUACGAUCUGAGGAUGAAAGCGGGGGACCGUAAGGCCUCGCGCGAUCGGAGCGGCCGAUGUCAGAUUAGGUAGUUGGUGGGGUAAAGGCUCACCAAGCCAACGAUCUGUAGCUGGUCUGAGAGGACGACCAGCCACACUGGGACUGAGACACGGCCCAGACUCCUACGGGAGGCAGCAGUGGGGAAUUUUGGACAAUGGGCGAAAGCCUGAUCCAGCAAUGCCGCGUGCAGGAAGAAGGCCUUCGGGUUGUAAACUGCUUUUGUACGGAGCGAAAAGGUCUCCUCUAAUACAGGGGGCUCAUGACGGUACCGUAAGAAUAAGCACCGGCUAACUACGUGCCAGCCGCCGCCGUAA
rnacentral:rRNA from 1 species